rnacentral:rRNA from 1 species
AAGGAAUAUUGGACAAUGGAGGCAACUCUGAUCCAGCCAUGCCGCGUGAAGGAAUAAGGCCCUAUGGGUUGUAAACUUCUUUUAGACGGGACAAAACCCCUUUACGUGUAAAGGGCUGAUGGUACUGUCAGAAUAAGCAUCGGCUAACUUCGUGCCAGCAGCCGCGGUAAUACAAAGGAUGCAAGCGUUAUCCGGAAUUAUUGGGUUUAAAGGGUGCGUAGGCGGACUAAUAAGUCAGUGGUGAAAGCCUGCAGCUUAACUGCAGAAUUGCCAUUGAUACUGUUAGUCUUGAGUACAGUUGGGGUAGGCGGAAUGUGUCAUGUAGCGGUGAAAUGCUUAGAUAUGACACAGAACACCGAUUGCGAAGGCAGCUUGCUAAGCUGUAACUGACGCUGAGGCACGAAAGCGUGGGGAGCAAACA